AGGCACCUGGGAGGGGGACAUGGGGCGCUGUGUCCUGGAUGUGUGCUUACCACUCGUGGGCAGUGCCGGGCCUACACCCAGUGUGGCAGUGGGAGUCUCCGAGCAGAGGUGGCUGGAGGACACACGGCAGCCCCCGCCAAAGUGUGAGCACAGGUGUGCACAGAGCAGCUCUGCCUGCAGCAUCCCAAAGGGGGGAACAUCUUGAGUGUCCCUCAGUGGGUGGACAGACACACAGUGUGGUCUGUCCCACGGGGGCCACGAGUCAGCCAUCAGGAGGAAGGGAGGACACAGUUCUUUCCGGGCUGAGCCUGCCAGCUCGUCCUGAGGUGCCCUGGCCUUGGAGAUGUCUUCCUCUGUGACGGGAAGAUUCUAGAAUUGCCUGUGGUGACCCUGUGCUGCACGACCCUGACUUGCGUGAAUGAGAUGUCUCUUCAGAGGGAUAUAGAAGCCAGUACACAAACGAAGAGAUAGGACAGCAGGGGCCUGACAGAGAUGGGGAAGGUCCCCUCAGCAGCCCCGGGAGCCACAGCUGGUAUGAGGGGGAUGCCUACCGG